rnacentral:rRNA from 1 species
UAGCCGUAAACGAUGCGCGUUAGGUGUAUCGGUGACCACGAGUCACCGAGGUGCCGAAGGGAAACCGUGAAACGUGCCGCCUGGGAAGUACGGUCGCAAGGCUGAAACUUAAAGGAAUUGGCGGGGGAGCACAACAACGGGUGGAGCUUGCGGUUUAAUUGGAUUCAACGCCGGAAAUCUUACCGGGACCGACAGCAACAUGAAGGCCAGGCUGAAGACUUUGCCGGAUUAGCUGAGAGGAGGUGCAUGGCGUCAGUGACU